ensembl:snoRNA
CCUCCCUUUCUUGGCAGGAUCGGGUUUUCCUGUACCCAUUUCUGUAAUGUGCGGAGGUAAACAAAUACUGCCCAGCGUCAUGUCUUCGGUGCCAGCGGUUUUCCCAUCCGCUGGUUCUAUCCUCAAGCGCCGGGACACGG